rnacentral:lncRNA from 1 species
AUGUAGACUUCCCCCUCCCCCCCCUCACCCUUCCUUAUCACUACUGCUUUUGCUAGUUUGAGCGAAACUGCAGCUGUCUGCUAAAAAAGCUGACUGUUACAUAUUCUGCUUUUAGGCUGUUAGCAUUGAGGCUGGUUAAAGUUCACAAGAUGGGGUUGCUUUGGCUCACUUAGACCCAGAGCAGGGGAGUUUCAUCGACACUUAUGGCCUUCCACCCUCCCGAGUUACCUGGUAGCUAUGCCUAGUGACACCAACAGCCCUAUCCAACAGAUCUAAUUCCUACUUUUUAAAUAUUUGGGACUGGCAGUAGUGGAAAACACACCAGAUUGAAAUGAUCAGCAUUCAGCCUGAUGCCAUGAAAACUAGUCUGAGGAGUGGAAUCAGUGAUGAACAAGGAACCAGCCCAGAGGGUGGUUUCCAGUGGUCCAAAGAACACAUGAAGUGUGCCUCAAAGGGAACUACAAGGAUCUUGUUUCAUUGAGAGCAGCAUGUGACUUCAGCAGCUCUCUGUUUUUAAUGCGUAAUGUA